rnacentral:lncRNA from 1 species
AUCAAACUCAAUUGACAGGACGCAUACGCGAACGCAUGACCGUCGUAAAAAUCGCCUUAGAAAGCAGCACAUGGUGCUGCACAACGUCCUUGUGGGAAUAUAAGGGGUGUGACAAGCAUGUGCUCGCAAUAUAAUAACGCCAAAAGAUCAAUUAUUAAUCCCUAUCUACAGAAAUGAGUACCGACAGAAAUCGCGACACAAUCUUCAAACAAGCCGACACUCCACGCGCUCUCGUUCACGCGCACGCGCUACUGUUGCAAGGUCACACGGCGCUGCAAAAACAUGCGACUCUGGCAAAGGGGUAAAAACAGCACGUCCUGAUUUAUGAAUGAGGCCACCUUGUUGUCUGUGGAUACUUUUAAAUGUCCACUGCGUAUAAACGAAACAAGGACGAUGGGGCAGUUAAAUCAUGUUUAAGUUUCCCCUUAGUGACCAAACUCACGUGAGGAGAUCAAUCAGGCAGAGACUCCACACAAGUUCCACAGCAGGUGAUGAUGAGCCCAGUCCAGGAGCACGUCCAACACCUGCAUCCAGUGUUGUUUCCAUGUGGAAGAGAAGCGUGGCGUCCCGUCGCCAAAACGGCUGAGACUCCACGGACGAUGGGUCAGUGCGGUCACCACAUUCGGAUCCGCCUGCCGCAUCUGAAGA